GAAAAACUACGCAAUUCAUGUUCGGCCUUGACUCGAUUUGGAGACAUUAUUUUUUAAAAAGCCCCCAAAAGACCGAUACUGCCCAGCAAGACCAUUCAUUUGUAUUUUGUCGUCUGGAGGUGUAUUUACUCACAAAUAAAGCGAGAUGUCUAGCCAGCAGAGUGGAGGUGGUAAAUACGGAGGCACGGGGGACAAGGCGGACCUGGAUAACCAUGGCAAACAGUGUAACCCGAACAACCCUGAGUUCAAAGGUCAUCGGCCCGGGUACCAGGGGGAAGGCGCAAAGGCGGACCUCGAUAACCACAGCGACCAAUUGAACCCGAAUAACCCCAAGUUCCAGGAGCCAAAAAAGUGACGUCAUUUCAAAAACAAAAGUUUAGACGUCAUACCACGCGCCGAUGAAAUGCUAUGUAAUCAUGUAUGAAAUUCAAUAAAGAAACAAACUCA